rnacentral:lncRNA from 1 species
CUUUCUGAUUUUCUGUUACAAAUAAUGCUGUAACAAGAAAUAUUUCACAAGUCUUCAUGUUCUCAGGUAAAUCAUUGACCUUUAUCCAACUUUUUUUUUUUUUUUGAGACAGAGUCUUGCUAUUUAGUUCAGCUGGCCUUGAACUUGCAGUGGCUCUCCUGCCUCAGCCUCCCUGGUAUUGGUGUUAGUGAGGAACUUCGGGGCUGUGCUUUUUCUCAGGGCUCCUUUCCAUGCUUUGGUUCUCUUGAACAAAGAAUUAGACAGAAAACGAGGUAGCGAUGUAUCUCACAUUUAUUAAAGGAAUUAAAGACAGGCCAAUUAAAGUUGGAAAAGAAAUAAAAAACAAACUCUCUCUGCAAAGCACAGAGCCGACCGGUGAAAAAGGGUCACAGCGUCCAAGUUAACGGCUGCAGUCUUUUAUAGCCCCCAUUAUGACGUCAGAUGUAGCUCGUCCUAUCACAAACCUGCUUGAUCUUGGGCCAGAACUGAAGAUAGGCUUCUCUGAUUGGUGCAGGUACCUCUGCGCAUGUGCCCGAUCUCCGUGAUUGACAGGUCCCGCCCACUUACCUACGUGCUUUGCCAGGGUGCCCUAAUCUCUUGCCUCACUGACCAAGCACCACAGUGCCUGGCGUAGCUCCUUUUAUUCUUGCCUAAUAUUUCGUGAUGAUAAACAUUUUAGUAAGCAGCUAUUUUAGUUCCACCUCUGUAGAGAAGAAGUCAAGUCCCAGCACUCUUGCGUCUUUCAGCAGCACUCCUCACAGAACCUCCUGCCACCACCUUGGGCUCUGUCUUUUGCUGCCACCUGAGCAAGCCUGGGCCCUGCCCGCCGUCCCUCAUCGAUUUUUGUCUCGAGAUGAUGGAUACAUUGAACAAGUCGAGACAGUAUCUAAGCCUGUCCUUACAUACGAGAAGAUAAAUACUGGAACACAGAUGCGGAAGGGUGAUCACGCUCACCUCUCAGGCAAAGAGAAAGUGGGAUAAGUUGUUGCUUGUUUUCAUUCAAGGCCGAUUUGAGGAGUCCAUGACCUCUUACACUAAUGGAAUCAUUACUUGAGAAAAAUAAAGAUGAUUUGGAAAAACUGCCUCUUCCAGAUGAAUGGUUCACGGUGACCUCCGUCCUUAGCCAGUGUGAAAAGAGGAAAACCACUGCCGGAAGUGAC